rnacentral:rRNA from 1 species
GUAGUCCACGCCCUAAACGAUGCGAACUGGAUGUUGGGUGCAAUUUGGCACGCAGUAUCGAAGCUAACGCGUUAAGUUCGCCGCCUGGGGAGUACGGUCGCAAGACUGAAACUCAAAGGAAUUGACGGGGGCCCGCACAAGCGGUGGAGUAUGUGGUUUAAUUCGAUGCAACGCGAAGAACCUUACCUGGCCUUGACAUGUCGAGAACUUUCCAGAGAUGGAUGGGUGCCUUCGGGAACUCGAACACAGGUGCUGCAUGGCUGUCGUCAGCUCGUGUCGUGAGAUGUUGGGUUAAGUCCCGCAACGAGCGCAACCCUUGUCCUUAGUUGCCAGCACGUAAUGGUGGGAACUCUAAGGAGACCGCCGGUGACAAACCGGAG